rnacentral:rRNA from 1 species
UACGUAGGGGGCAAGCGUUGUCCGGAAUCAUUGGGCGUAAAGCGCGUGUAGGCGGUCCGGUAAGUCCGCUGUGAAAGUCGGGGGCUCAACCCUCGGAUGCCGGUGGAUACUGUCGGGCUUGAGUACGGAAGAGGCGAGUGGAAUUCCUGGUGUAGCGGUGAAAUGCGCAGAGUAUCAGGAGGAACACCAAUGGCGAAGGCAGCUCACUGGGACGGUAUUGACGCUGAGACGCGAAAGCGUGGGGAGCGAACAGG